GACGAACGCUGGCGGCGUGCUUAACACAUGCAAGUCGAACGCUGAAGCUCAGCUUUUGUUGGGUGGAUGAGUGGCGAACGGGUGAGUAACACGUGAGUAACCUGCCCCCUUCUUUGGGAUAACGCCCGGAAACGGGUGCUAAUACUGGAUAUUCACUGGUCUUCGCAUGGGGGUUGGUGGAAAGGGUUUUUCUGGUAGGGGAUGGGCUCGCGGCCUAUCAGCUUGUUGGUGGGGUGAUGGCCUACCAAGGCUUUGACGGGUAGCCGGCCUGAGAGGGUGACCGGUAACAUUGGGACUGAGAUACGGCCCAGACUCCUACGGGAGGCAGCAGUGGGGAAUAAUGCACAAUGGGCGCAAGCCUGAUGCAGCGACGCCGCGUGAGUGAUGGAGGCCUUCGGGUUGUGAACCUCUUUCGCUCAUGGUCAAGCCGCAACAAUGGUUGUGGUGAGGGUAGUGGGUAAAGAAGCGCCGGCUAACUACGUG
rnacentral:rRNA from 1 species